AAUAGAUACCCUGGUAGUCCACGCCGUAAACGAUGAGUGCUAAGUGUUAGAGGGUUUCCGCCCUUUAGUGCUGCAGCUAACGCAUUAAGCACUCCGCCUGGGGAGUACGGCCGCAAGGCUGAAAACUCAAAGGAAUUGACGGGGGCCCGCACAAGCGGUGGAGCAUGUGGUUUAAUUCGAAGCAACGCGAAGAACCUUACCAGGUCUUGACAUCCUCUGACAACCCUAGAGAUAGGGCUUUCCCCUUCGGGGGACAGAGUGACAGGUGGUGCAUGGUUGUCGUCAGCUCGUGUCGUGAGAUGUUGGGUUAAGUCCCGCAACGAGCGCAACCCUUGAUCUUAGUUGCCAGCAUUCAGUUGGGCACUCUAAGGUGACUGCCGGUGACAAACCGGAGGAAGGUGGGGAUGACGUCAAAUCAUCAUGCCCCUUAUGACCUGGGCUACACACGUGCUACAAUGGAUGGUACAAAGGGCUGCAAACCUGCGAAGGUAAGCGAAUCCCAUAAAGCCAUUCUCAGUUCGGAUUGC
rnacentral:rRNA from 1 species